rnacentral:rRNA from 1 species
UGGAGCAUGUGGUUUAAUUCGAUGCAACGCGAAGAACCUUACCUGGUCUUGACAUCCCGGAGACCCUUAGGAAACUAGGGGGUGCUUCCAUCUGGAAGAAUCUGGAGACAGGUGCUGCAUGGCUGUCGUCAGCUCGUGUCGUGAGAUGUUGGGUUAAGUCCCGCAACGAGCGCAACCCUUGUCUUUAGUUGCCAGCAGUUCGGCUGGGCACUCUAAAGGGACUGCCGGUGUUAAACCGGAGGAAGGUGGGGAUGACGUCAAGUCCUCAUGGCCUUUAUGACCAGGGCUACACACGUACUACAAUGGCCGAUACAAAGGGCAGCGACACUGCGAGGUGAAGCCAAUCCCGUAAAAUCGGUCUCAGUCCGGAUUGGAGUCUGCAACUCGACUCCAUGAAGUUGGAAUCGCUAGUAAUCGUGGAUCAGCAUGCCACGGUGAAUACGUUCCCGGGCCUC